rnacentral:rRNA from 1 species
UACGUAGGUGGCAAGCGUUGUCCGGAUUUAUUGGGCGUAAAGAGCGUGUAGGCGGCCAGACAGGUCAGCUGUGAAAACUCGAGGCUCAACCUCGAGACGUCGGUUGAAACCGUCUGGCUAGAGUCCGGAAGAGGAGAGUGGAAUUCCCGGUGUAGCGGUGAAAUGCGCAGAUAUCGGGAAGAACACCCGUGGCGAAGGCGGCUCUCUGGGACGGUACUGACGCUGAGGAGCGAAAGUGUGGGGAGCGAACAGG